rnacentral:rRNA from 1 species
UACGAAGGGGGCUAGCGUUGUUCGGAAUUACUGGGCGUAAAGGGCGCGUAGGCGGCGAUGUAAGUCAGGCGUGAAAGCCCCGGGCUCAACCUGGGAACGGCGCUGGAUACUGCGUUGCUUGAGGACGGGAGAGGAUGGUGGAAUUCCCAGUGUAGAGGUGAAAUUCGUAGAUAUUGGGAAGAACACCGGUGGCGAAGGCGGCCAUCUGGACCGUUUCUGACGCUGAGGCGCGAAAGCGUGGGGAGCAAACAGG